CCGAUACAUCGGCCGGCCGAUAUUUUUGGCCGAUAUUCACGUUUUUCCUUUGUAUCGGUAUCGGCCGAUACGCGCCUACUCUGGCCGAUACAGCAGCCAUGCUCUGGGCUCACGUGCGCGCAUCCAUUACAGCUCCCUCCCCGGUGGAGAGCGGGUGGUGAUUUGUGAGACAGAGCACAAAUAACAACAAAGGAAUGGCAGAAAAACUGAAUCCUUUGUGGCAGCACUUCAGUCAGCCAACAACACCAGGCACUGUUAAUGUUUUGUUUGUUUAUUAAUAAAAAAUUUUACGUUGA